ACCGGUUGACCUCGGAUCAGGUA
rnacentral:rRNA from 1 species